rnacentral:lncRNA from 1 species
UUUCCUAAUCAAAAGAUAGGAGAGCACCCCUUCUCCCGAAGUUACGGGGUUAUUUUGCCGAGUUCCUUCGACAUGGUUCUCUCAAGUACCCUAGUAUACUCUACUUGUUCACCUGUGUCGGUUUGGGGUACGGUUAGUUCACCAGGAGGAUUGCCCUCCCAAUUCGAAGUUUUUUCCUAGAAAUUUCAACCUUGUUGACUAUGACAACAGUCGUGACUAUAAACAGACUUAUGACUAUGGCAGGGCGGUACGCUCUGCUCUCUCGCGACCCCUACUCUAAUCAAAAGACUAAAGGCCCCUACUGAAGAUAGGUCGCCAAACUACGACCGAGAGUUUCGCCUUUUGAAGUGCCAGUCGCGUAGGGCGACCGGGCCAGGCCGAGUCAGAAAGGCUUUGAUGACUCAAGGUUCAUAUUAGGGAAAGGAGAGUGAUGGGAAGAGGGGGCAGCCCUCGGCCCGAUCAUCCAAUUCGCUCCAACAGACAUGCAUGGUUCUGUAGUCAAAGCAACUUCGUCACUUUCGUGUACCCAUCGGACGGCAGCCCUUUCGGGGGUUCCUUAGGGACCGAUUCACUCUGUGUAGAUUGACUGAAUGCAGAAAACCUUCUACUGGCAGGCGAUCAUGUUUUUCAAAAGACUUUUCGUUCUCAUGUCAACAUUCUCGCUUCUGAUAUCUCCAGGUCUUGUCACCAAAAACCUUCCCCGAUUGACAGAACGUUCCGCUACUGAUACUUGAAAAAGCAGCUUUCAAGGUCUCGUCACUUCGGUGAAUCACUUGAGCCCUGAUAUAUUUCCGGUGCCAUGGAGCUAGACUAAUGAGCUAUUACGCUUUCUUCAAAGGAUGGCUGCUUCCAAGCCCACCUCCUGGUUGUCAUCGCUCGAUCACUUCCUUUUCCACUAAGUGAUUUCUUAGGGACCUUAGCGUAUGAUCUGGGCUAUUUUCCUCUCGACUUUGGAUCUUAGCACCCAAAAAGUCUAUCUGUACAAACGAUCUAGGAUUGUAUUCGGAGUUUCCCUAGGGUUGGUAAGGCGAAAUGAGGCCACCCUAGCCCAUUGAGUGCUCUUCCUCGGGCCAUCGACAUCAUACGCUCUACUGAAAUAGAUUUUGCGGAAAACCAGCUAUAUCCGAUCUUGGUUGGCCUUUCACCCCUAGCCACAAGUCAUCCCCGUAUUUUGCCACAUACGUGGGUUCAGUCCUCCAAGGCCUAUUAGAGCUCUCUUCAACCUGCUCAUGGCUAGAUCGAUCAGUUUUGGGUCAAAUAGGAAGAACUAGAAGAUUCCACCUCUGGAAAGUGCCUACACCUAAUGGCUUAAGCCGAUGUUCCCAUUUUCUCGCUGACCCAUCAUGCAAAAGGUACGUUGUUAGAGUGAGUGCGCUUUACAUAAAGUAAAGGCUCUAAGCUCCGCUCCUUCGACUGAUUGUUCGCAUCGGAUCUCAGGUUCUCUAUUGUACUCCCUAAAUAGGGUUCUUUUCACCUUUCCCUCACGGUACUUGUACGCUAUAUGUCAUUGAGGAAUACUUAGGCUUAGAGGGUUGUCCCCCUUUCUCGCAUAAAAGCGAUCAGAAUUCGAACACGCCGCAUUUUACUAGAAAGGAUCGAACCAUGGGAACGAAUCUACAGGGCUAUCACCUUCUUUGGCCAGAUCUUCCAAUCUUUUCACAAUUACAGUUCACUGCGCCCGCUCCUUUAAAGGGCGGUGGCUUAAAAGCUUACCUUAUUAUUAGAGAAAUGUUUGGAACCCUAACCAACGUUUUGGAUUUUGGAGUUUUCGCCCCAACCUAGGUUAGGGGGUCAUUAGACCGUAGCUUGCUGCUGAAAAACGUUGCUAGGCUAGCGCGGCUCACUUCGCUCUUCAAGCUCCGCCCCCCUUACUCAACCUCAACAUCUAUAAAAAAAAAGCCAUUUCUCCUUUUCUAAAUAAGGCAAGCUUUGAAGCCGUAGCUUGCUGGUUUUUCCAUCAUCCAAUCCACAACAAAUCGAAUGAAACCUGGCGAAAAAGAAGUGAACACUUUGCUGAGGAACGAAGCUUCGUGUUUUUUUUCUUCAAACCCCCAAUCCGCUCUCGCUCGCCGCUACUAACGGGGUCUCGGUUGAUUUCCCUUCCUUUAGCUACUAAGAUGUUUCAGUUCACUAAGUUUGAAAAGUCCAAAGAGCGCAGACUAGCCACUACGCUUGGAUACGGUUUCCCGAUCGGAGAUCCAUAGAUCACAGACGGUAUCUCCCCAUGGCCUUUCGCCUCUGAAAGCGUCCUUCAUUCUCAAUGCCCGGUUAUCUAUCCAAUGCAUUCUUUUCGAUCUUGUACCCUAUGUAGGCUUGCAAAGCAUAGGCAUCACAAGCGGUACACUGAACACCAACUCAAUCUCGAUGAAAAAAAGGAAAAGCAAGUACAUCCUUAACGGCCUCUAUUCCUGACGUGAACGGCCGCUUUCUUGGAACUAAUUCAUAGGCACUUUCCAUUAGUUAGACUUCAUACACUAUAUAAAUAAAUAGUUGAAGCGUGCGAUAGAAAGCGAAAAAAUGAAUUGAUUGACUAUUGAGUGCAAGCCCUUAAAUAGACGACUAUGGGUAGUUCAGGUGCGCUUAAAGUCAACUACAACUAGAAGGCAUGCCGAUCUUGCCACCAACAAACCUUUGACUUUGACUGUGAAAAGUGAAAAAUAGGCACACAGUAGUUUAGAGUAGAAGGAGUGAAAGCCACUUGACUGUAAGGAGAGGAGCUCUAAGUUAGAAUUCAAUAGUCUAAGAAAUAGUCAUCUGUACGUAACAGCUACUAGUAUCAUCACCCUGCAAAGAGGUGGAACCAACCAAGACUGAACACUAGCCCCAUUUUUUAGACGGGUUGGGACCGGCCUUCUAUCCCGGUGAACAAUGUUCCACUGAUUAGGCGGGGAGAGGAUUCGAACCUGCAAUCUUCAGGUCAUGAGCCUGAUGAGUUGACCAAUUCCUCUACCCCGCUUCUUCCCCUUCUCUUUCGAACACCAAAAACCAAGGUUCGACUUGCAUGUGUUAAGCAUAUAGUCUGAGUAGCAUGAUUGGAGCUUCUUAGCACUUAGGCCACUACCUAAAAGUAAGCUUUUUGCUCUUUUCCUCUUACAUAACUUAGAUGGAGGAGAUAGUAAGCAAGACUUUCUACGCAACGAUUUCUUCUUCUCUUAUGNNNNNNNNNNNNNNNNNNNNNNNNNNNNNNNNNNNNNNNNNNNNNNNNNNNNNNNNNNNNNNNNNNNNNNNNNNNNNNNNNNNNNNNNNNNNNNNNNNNNNNNNNNNNNNNNNNNNNNNNNNNNNNNNNNNNNNNNNNNNNNNNNNNNNNNNNNNNNNNNNNNNNNNNNNNNNNNNNNNNNNNNNNNNNNNNNNUAGAUUGGUUGGUUUUUCCAGUCAAAUAUAGUUGAUAAUCCCAUUUUCUAAUAUGAAUUUGAAUAGAUUCUCUUUAUUAUUAUAAAUAUAGCUUUUUUAUCUUCCACCUUAUCUCCACAACUUUGGGAGACCCCUUCCCCUUCCUCUUUUUUUUAUUUCAAGCAUGGACCUUAACUUAAAGUAGAAAUCAUUAGCUGUCAACUGUUCAUAGUCAGCAGUGGAAUAGGGCGUAGCUUUUAUUACUCAAGUUGCCCUCUCAUGGUAAAAUGUGAAAAAGAAUUGCUUUUAUUUAGCAACAGUCUUAUAAGGAUGAUGCUUCCCCUGUGCCUUAUCAAUAACUAAUAAGGAAGACCGGGCUAAAGGUAACUACUUUUUGCUCACCCGGUGAAAGGCAUAGUAGGUAAAAAGUCUAUUGGUUGCUUUACUUCCUUACCUCGGGUAGGUUGAAAACGUUGCUAAGAAGAAAAGUUUUCUUUUCUCUUGCGACCUUCCACGCCAAGGAAGGUUGAAGGGAUCGAUCCCAAUAGCCUUUCACAAGGGGAAAGACCCAUUCUUUAUAGCCGUUACGAAAGCUCCCGAAGAGAAAGAGGUCUUUGCUGCUUGACUGCGUGAACCAGGUCUAAGUCUUGCAUUUGGCAUUCCCGCUGUUGACGUCCCAUCGAGUUAGCUAGUUAAGGGUGAAAGGGAUUUAGGAAUGAAUAGCAGGAAAAGUCCUUGCUAGGAAUUCUGGGUAACUUUCUGUAUUCCUUAAGGUUACAGGUGAAGCUGACUUCCUGCGGUAGCCCCUUCUGUAUUCCAGGUACCUACUCACAUGAGGCUAUCGGAGAAGGUGAGCGUGAGGCAAACGCACAGGCGGAUGGUUGAUUUGUGGCUAACGGCAGUGAAAGUGGUGGCAGCGCGUGGAAGGCCAGAAUUGAUUCACUGGGUGCAGCAGAGUAGCCCCGACAUUGGUUGGUGUUUGCAAAGGCCGGUGGGAGUUGGAAGGAAGAACGUCAGUCUUUGCGACCUCGGGUGCGCACCAAGUCGAAUUUCCAAGUUCUAUUCUCGGGAGUUAGUACUUCCCGCUUUCCUAUUUCUUUUCUCUGUGCUAGUUAAAUUGUUGUUAUUUUAGCUCGCAUUAGUUAAUCAUACUAUUAGCGUGCCUGUAGUUACAACUUGUUUUCUUCUAGUUUGGUCCGUUGCCUAUUUUUUGUUAGCAAUUUCCUUAGUAUGUCGUAGGUAUAGUGGUUGUGGUAUGGGAUGGUAGAGUAAGGUCAUGUCCUCGAAGGGGGGUUGGGGUAGGGGUGGGGCAGGGGACAGGGGGUGGUACGGGAGGCAAGGGGGGUAAAGGGAACAAGAGAGCCUAUAGGUUGAGAAAUGGGUCUUGGAACAUAGGUACAUUGACGAGUAAGUCUAUAGAGUUGGAGAAGAUUCUCCAAAAGAAGAAAUUCAGUAUAGCUUGUGUCCAGGAGACUAGGUGGGCAAGAUCGAAGGCAAGAGAUACGGAUAGGUAUAAGGUGUGGUAUUCUAGAGUCAUGAAGGGUAAGAAUGGAGUGGGCCUUUUGGUGGAUAGGGAACUUAGAGAGUUUGUGGUAGAGUUUAGGCGGGUGAAUGAUAGAUUAAUGUCUAUUAAGUUAGUGGUUGGAGAGUGCACCCUAAAUAUCAUUAGCGCUUACGCGCCACAAGCAUGCUUGGAUGAGGAGGUUAAGAGGCUCUUCUGGGAGGGGUUGGAUGAGAUUGUGCGUAGUAUUUCGCCUGCAUAGAGGUUAUUUAUCAAAGGGGAUUUCAAUGGUCAUAUUGGGUUGACUGCUGGUGGCUAUGGCGAGGUGCAUGACGGCUUUGGCUUUGGGGAUAGGAACGGAGGAGGUACUUCUCUAUUGGAUUUCGCUAAGGCAUUUGAGCUGGUGAUUGCGAACUCUAGUUUCCCAAAGAGGGAGGAGAUUUAGUCACUUUUCAAAGUACGGUGGCGAAGACUCAGAUUGAUUAUCUCCUUCUCAGGAUGUGUGAUAGAGGGCUGUGUAAGGUUUGCAAGGUUAUCCUAGGUGAGACCCUCGCGAUGCAGCAUAGGCUCUUGGUGAUGGACGUCGGUAUCAUGAUAAAGAGGAAGAAGAGGAUCGUACGAGGACGGUCGAGGAUCAGGUGGGGAGCCCUGACUAAGGAUAAAGCUCAGGAGUUGGAGGGGAGGUCGUCGGCUAUGGGAGCCUGGAGGACUAGUGAGGACGCGAGGGCUAUGUGGACAACGACAAUGAACUGUAUAAGGGAGGUGGCGAGAGAGGUGUUAGGGGUCUCGAAGGGUUACUCUAGCGGGCACAAAGGUGACUGGUGGUGGAAUGAUAUGGUCCAAGGUAAAGUGGAAGCGAAGAACGCGACGUACCUGAAGUUAGUAGGGAGUACAGGCGAGAAGGAGAGGAGAGUGAACAGGGACAGGUAUAAGAUAGCUAGGAAGGAGGCGAAGUUGGCAGUCACGGAGGGUAAGACUGCAGCAUUUGGUCAUCUAUACGAGAAAAUAGGGAACAAAGGCGGGGAUAAGAAGUUAUUCCGGCUGGCCAAGACGAGAGAGAGGAAGGCUCGGGAUCUGGACCAAGUGAGGUGCAUCAAAGACGAAGAUGGUAGAGUUUUGAUGGGAAAGGCUCAAAUCAAGCAGAGAUGGAAGACCUACUUUCAUAAAUUUCUAAAUGAAGAGGGAGACAGGGAUAUUGUGCUAGGUGAAUUGGAGCAUUUCGAGGAUCACCGAGACUUUAGGUAUUGUAGGUGCAUUAAGGUUGAGGAGGUCGUGAGGGCUAUGCGUAAGAUGAGUAGGGGCAGAGCAACCGGGCCAUACGAAAUUCUAGUAAAAUUCCGGAGGUAUAUGGAUAGAGCAGGCUUGGAGUGCCUGACUGGGCUAUUUAAUGUUAAAAUGAAGAGGAUGCCGAAUGAGUGGAGGUGGAGUACGGUGGUACCGUUGUACAAGAACAAAGGUGAUAUCCAGAGUUGCAACAACUAUAGGGGUAUCAAGUUACUAAGUCAUACUAUGAAAGUGAAGGAGAGGGUGGUGGAAGUAAGGGUGAGGAGGACAGUGUCUAUAUCCGACAAUCAGUUCGGGUGCAUGCCGGGUCGUUCGACUACGAAAGUGAUCCACCUUAUUAGGAAGUUGGUGGAACAGCACAAGGAUAGGAAGCAGGAUCUGCACAUGGUGUUUAUUGACCUGGAGAAAGCGUAUGACAAGGUCCCUAGGGAGGUUCUUUGGAGAUGAUUGGAGGCCAAAGGUGUGCAGGUUGCUUACACUAGAGCGAUUAAGGACAUGUAUAAUGGCGCUAAGACUCGGGUUAGGACUGUGUGAGGCGAUUCGGAGCACUUUUUGGUUGUUAUGGGAUUACACCAAGGAUCUGCGCUCAGCCCGUUCUUAUUUGCUCUGGUGAUAGACGCACUGACACACCAUAUUCAAGGGGAGGUCCCAUGAUGUAUGUUGUUCGCUGAUGAUAUUAUUCUUAUUGAUGAGAUGCGAGGCAGCAUUAACGAGAGGCUGGAGGUUUGGAGACAAGCCCUUGAGUCUAAGGGUUUCAAGUUGAGUAAGACUAAGACAGAAUACCUGAAGCAGAAGUUCAACGCUGAGUCGAGGGAAGCAGGCUUAGACGUGAGGCUUGGAUCACAGGUCAUCCCCAAGAGAUGCAGUUUCAAGUACCUUGGGUCGGUUAUCUAGGGGGAUAGGGAGAUCGACAAGGAUGUCACACACUAUAUAGGGGUAGGAUAAAUGAAAUAGAGGUUAACAUCUGGAGCCCUGUGUGACAAGAUAGUACCACCGAUACUCAAAAGUAAGUUUUAUAGAGUGGUGGUUAGACCGGCUAUGUUUUAUAGGGUAGAGUGUUGGCCAGUUAAGAACUCACAUAUCCAGAAGAUAAAAGUAGCAGAAAUGAGGAUAUUGAGGUGGAUGUGCAGGCACACUAGGAUGGAUAAGAUUAGGAAUGAAGAUAUUCGGGAGAAUGUGGGUAUGGCUCCUAUGGAUGACAAGAUGCGGAAAGCGAGGCUUAGAUGGUUCGAACACGUGCAAAAGAGAAGCCCAAAUGCCCCGGUCAGGAGGUGUGAGCAGUUGGCUUUGGCGGGUUCGAGAAGAGGGAGAGGGCAGCCUAAGAAGUAUUGGAGAGGGAUGAUCAGGUAGUACAUGGCGUGACUUUAGAUUUUUGAGAACAUGGCCCUUGAUAAGAAGGUGUGGAGAUUGAGAAUUGGGGUGGUAGGUUAGGAGGUAGCUGAGCAUUUUUCUAUUUCGUAACGGGUGUGAGGCUAGUCCGAUUAGGUAUUGUCUUAGGCUGCUAGCGAGUAUUAUUGUGUUCACACUAUCCUUCCGUUUUUCGUAGUACCAGAUUAUUUUUUCAUCUAUUUUCUAGUUCUUAUGAUGUUGCUAUUAUUCUUAUGGUUUCUAUUGAUGGUACUAAUAUAUUUUUUCUUUUCGUCUUCUUGAGCCGAGUAUCUAUCGAAAACAGCCUCUCUACUCUUCGGAGUAGGGGUAAGGUCUGCGUACAGACCACCCUCUCCAGACUCCACUUAUGGGAAUUCACUGGGUGAUNNNNNNNNNNNNNNNNNNNNNNNNNNNNNNNNNNNNNNNNNNNNNNNNNNNNNNNNNNNNNNNNNNNNNNNNNNNNNNNNNNNNNNNNNNNNNNNNNNNNNNNNNNNNNNNNNNNNNNNNNNNNNNNNNNNNNNNNNNNNNNNNNNNNNNNNNNNNNNNNNNNNNNNNNNNNNNNNNNNNNNNNNNNNNNNNNNNNNNNNNNNNNNNNNNNNNNNNNNNNNNNNNNNNNNNNNNNNNNNNNNNNNNNNNNNNNNNNNNNNNNNNNNNNNNNNNNNNNNNNNNNNNNNNNNNNNNNNNNNNNNNNNNNNNNNNNNNNNNNNNNNNNNNNNNNNNNNNNNNNNNNNNNNNNNNNNNNNNNNNNNNNNNNNNNNNNNNNNNNNNNNNNNNNNNNNNNNNNNNNNNNNNNNNNNNNNNCGCCAAACCAAACAAAACUAAAAGAUUUCAGCAUUAAGAAAUUACUAUUAUAUAGAAGUGGGAGUGAAAUGGGACGAACACGGGUAAAGUGGUAAUUAUGAAUGUUCGUCAUGUGCAUUUUUUUUAUUUCACUCUUCAAUAUCAGCCAUUUCAUUCUCCUCAUUUUCCUGACACGUGUUGGUCUUUAUUUUUUUAUCUCCCACUUCCAUUUUUUGACUUCAAUAUCAGCCAUCUCGCUGAUUUCCUUCUUCUUCAAUGCUCUCUUCUUCUUCUUCUUCUUCUCUGGUUUUUCCCUCUUCUUAAUUUUGUUGUUCUUUUCAUUUUGGUUCUUGAAAAACUAUGAGCUUUGUUUCACGAUUCUUUUUCUAUAUGUAUUCUUGGUCCGUCUGAUGUUACAGAUUUCUGAAGUAUUUCAUGUGAGUAAUUUCUUUUACUUUAUGAAAAAUUGAUAUUUUAACCUAAGAUUUUAAAUUCGAGUUUUACGAAUUCAAUGUGACCAAGCAAUUGAAAGACACGUUGGGGUUUUUGGAGUGCAGGAGGAAUAAACGGGUGAAGGUUGCAAGGAAGCUGCUUCAUAGUGAUCUAUGGGCGGCUUAUAUUGAUAGGUAAUGAAUGAAUAUUUCUUCCUGAGAAAACUAAUAGGAACUUUUUAUGGGCUCUUUUAAUUUUUUAUAUCAAUUAUCAUGAUUUUUGUUAAUUGGUAAUAAGUGGAUUGUAAUUACGAGUUUCAGAUACAUUGGUAUUUCAUUUAUAAGGAAAUGGUUUCAGGAUGAUAACCUCCUAAACAUGCUUCAUAUAACUUUUUUUUGAAUGUUAGUUUGGUUUCUACUUUCAUCCUGUCUGGUUCGUAUCUUGCGUACUUAUGAAUAUUUUUUUUGAUUUAUCACUGGUUUGCAUUUACAGUAUCUAAGAUUCCAUAGAUAUUGUCAGUUCAAUUCUUCUCCCCUUUCUUCUACUGUUCUUAACUUUAUUGUUUCUUUGUUCGCAUUUCUCCCUCUAUUUGGCAUAAAGCUUUCUUUAAAUGUGUGAGUUUUAUUUGGUCAAUGUUUAAACAUAGAUCUACACUGAUACUCAGGCCAACUAAAUUCUUCAAAAAAUUAAAAAGAAAACAAAAUAUGUAAGAUAAACAGGGUAAAUUGUCCUUACAGAACUAAAAAGACCUACAUUUUUAGUUUUAGUUGUUAAUUCCCUCGACUGGCAAACUGCGGCCUCUUCAGUUAUAAUAACAUGAAAGGACAUAAGGGUGUUGUUGCUAUCUCUAAACUUGUGAAGCACUCUUCAAUGUUAGAGGAUUUCAGGUGUUCAUCUACAAUGAUUGGAUCUGAUGAAGAUAAGGGUGUUGUAUACUCUAUUUCUCAUUUGAAGUAUGCACCAACUUAAAGGAGCUUGAUUGGCAUGACAAGAUGUUUAUUGAGGAAGCAUAAAUUGUGUUGAGCAAAGUCAUAUCAACUCUAUUUUUCAAACUUAACUGAAAUCCAGCCGAGUCACCUGAAUUUGGGAGGAUAAGGACUCCACCUUAAUAAAUUUGUUUCAUCCCUGAAGUUCUAGAAGACAUCACCAUCAAACCUGCUCUUGCUUUGGCCACCUGUAUAACUGCAAAAUAAUUUCUUACCAAGUUGAACUUUGCAAAGAAUGAAUUGAAAGAUGAGGGUGCUGUCUUAAUUGCAAAGGCAUUAAAAGAUUUAAGAUUUCCUCGGAUAGGGCAGAAAUGAAAAGUUAAUUGCUAGACUUUCCAGAUUAAUGACAUUGUGUGUUCCUACUUCCUUUUUCUACCAUUUUUGAGCAUAAAAAAAUUAUAGGAACAUGUUUGUGAUCCUCUUUAGAUUACAGUCAUAUUCUGAAAUAUAAAUUCACUAGAAUAGGAGAACCAUCUUAACUGAUUAAACUUUUGUUAAGAAUGUGUUGGUUCCCCAAGUACACGUAAGUAUACGUGGCCGUCAAGUAAUAAAGUGACUCGAAAGUCGGAUGUCGAAUCCAGAGAGACUUAGAUUAACCGUUAACUAAGCAACCUAAAUUAAUUUACUGUCCAAGAUGAUCUAAAGUUUAACUUUUCUAUUACAACUACUAUUGCAAAAUUUAAACACGUAACCCAAGGGAGAUAUAGAUUCCAGGGUUGUGGUCGGUUUAUCAAUCCUAUUGAGUUCGUAAUUACACCUGUUAAUCCAAAUUAUCUAUGAUUGCUAGUUGACCGGAUCGUUUAUAUAAAUAUUUUGUUCCCACAAUACUAUCUGUCUAUACAUAAUAUAUCAACCCUAUAUUCCUAUGGUCUUGAAUCUAUCAUGAAUGAAUAUAAUACGGUAUUCAACUAAGCAAGACUGUUAGGUAUUCCUAUCCUAACCACGAAAUCUUUCUCCGAGCUACGGGUUUAGAAACAAGCUCUCUCCAAUUUUACUCUAAUCUAAGCACGGCUUUCCCAAGCAUAGCAUAGAUAGUAAAUAGAACUCAACUGCUGGCCAAACAAUUAAGAAAUUAUGCACAGAAUUAGAGAAACAACCAAAGAUGAUAAAUCGAAUUAACGGCAAUAUAAUUAAUAAACUUCAAUAUUCAUGACAACUACAACCCUAGAACGUGAAGUUUAUCUCUACAUAGACAUUGUAGCAAAACAAUAAAUCAUCAAAAAAAAGUAAAGAUUACUAAGUUUGAUGGAAGAAAGAUGGAAUUUGAUGAAUUCUGGCCUCCACGGCGGCUCCGUGCUCUCCCUUUGUCUAAAGUCUGUCCAAAAUUGUCCUCUCCCUUAAACAAUGGUGUUUAAUGACUAUUUAUAUAUGUAGGGAAAAAACUUAGACGAAAUAAGCAAGUCCAAAACCAAAAAGGAGACAAAAUAGGCUUGAGACCCGGACCACGCGUCGCCACGCAAAACGCGCGACGGACCUCGCGUCAAACUGCGCCUAGCGAUCUCAAACGCGCGGAAUUUCUCUCGCGUCGCCUGUCACUGUUUCAUUUUCAAUUUUGAUGCCAAACUUUUUCCUAACUUUCUCGUUUCUUUUCUUUGCUUUUCAACUCUUAGUUCUCUUCUUUUUUUUUUUAUUAUCACCCCAUCAUUAUGUCUUCAAUCAUCAAAUCAUGACAUCAUAAUAUUUCCCAUCAUCAAAUAAUCACGAGCCAUUCUUGUAGUGCAUAAAAUACACAUAAAUUUUUUAGUUCGCUCCCAAUUUCAUCUUCAAAGUACCUACACAUAAAAUACAUUCAAUUAAGCAUAAAUAUAGUAUAAUUUAGCAUUAAAGCACCUAAAUGUAACGUAAGUAAUGCACUAAAAAUAUAUAAUUAUAGCCAAACAUCACUAUCUCACACUUAAACGUUGCUCGUCCUCGAGUCAACCAACAAUUCACACUAUCCUUGAGCACUUUGUUUUUACACAAUUGAGGCACACUACACCAAUGACAUGGUUUAUAACAACAAUUAAACUUUAGCAUGUGCAAUCACAUACACUUCCCUUUUCUUAUGCCAUACUUCACUAAUAUUCACAACAAAGACAACAUGCUCCUAACAGUCCUACCCUCAAAAACCAACUCAAUGUCACAAUGCACUCAUGGCUUGAACACCCAACAAUACCAUAGAGAGAAGUUUAAUAACCUUACCUAUCCCUUAUGAAACCAUGUGCCCUUACAACAAGAACAAGAGAGUAAGUUGAAUCCAUACAUUCAAAUCAAAUGCUCAAAUAUAUUUUAAGGACUCAUAUAUAUCAAAGAAAAUCUCUCUCUCUCACAAAAGAAGUCACAUGCAUGCAAUUGACACCAUAGGCUUGCCCUUAAUGUAAAUCUCUACUAAUGUAGGUUCACUCAGUCUAAAAUCAAUUAGGACUUUUUUAUGGUUGUAAUGUGGGCUAAGGGACGGGAAGAAUAUAUUUAGGAAUAGUGGCUAACCCUCCUAGGCACUUUAACACAUCACAUAAUCAACUGUAAGCGCAAAUUCUUCAAUCGCAAUUUUAAUUUCACAACUAAAAUCAUCCCUAACAACGUUACCUCUUUCUUUAAGCACUACUUUAAUUCAUUCCCACUAGGAAGAACAAAAUAUCAGUUUAUUCAUCUAAUUUUUUUUUUCUUUCUCUUUUGCAAUUUCUACUAGUGGUGUAUUCUUUUACAAAACAAGUGCACCUUUCACUGGUUCCACUCAAAAGUCACCCCAUACUUAGUCCCUUCUUACUCCUUUUAGCACUCAUCUCACAAUUAAAGUGUUUUAAGAGGUAAAAGGAUCAAAACAAUGUCAAUUUAGAAUAAAAGAGGUUUAGGCUUGUAAUGUGGGAGCCAAAUAAAAGUCUAUAAGCUCAAAAUGGUUAACUAGGGAUAUAUUUUAUUUGUGAUAAGUAUUAAACUAAAAAAAAAUAAAGAUAGCCUAAAAUCAUUUUUCAAACCGAGUAUCACCUAAAAUUUCGCUUCGACUCACAUACCGGGCAAGUUCUAGACACAAUUACAAUACAUAGACUACACAAAAAUCUCACCACACAUGGCACAUGACUCACUAAGGACGGUUUCAUUCCGACUCUCAAACUAAUGCAAGUAUUCACGGAGCCACGAGAUGUUAAGCAUUAAGCAUAAAGUGAACAUAAGUCAAGAAAAUAAGACAUAGGCGUCACAAAACAUGCUAUCCAUAUAACCAAGGCAUCAUAAGCACUUUUAGCACAUAGGGAAGAUACUACGCAUGCCAAAGCCUAAAUAUGCUACUAUCAACCAAGUCAAGGGCGCCUAGGAAUCUCAUCUUUCUUCCUCCAUUUAUUCCUUAAUUUCUAAUCUGCUCUAAAAAAUAAAAAAAAUAAAAGGAAAAAAUACUAACCCGGUUNNNNNNNNNNNNNNNNNNNNNNNNNNNNNNNNNNNNNNNNNNNNNNNNNNNNNNNNNNNNNNNNNNNNNNNNNNNNNNNNNNNNNNNNNNNNNNNNNNNNNNNNNNNNNNNNNNNNNNNNNNNNNNNNNNNNNNNNNNNNNNNNNNNNNNNNNNNNNNNNNNNNNNNNNNNNNNNNNNNNNNNNNNNNNNNNNNNNNNNNNNNNNNNNNNNNNNNNNNNNNNNNNNNNNNNNNNNNNNNNNNNNNNNNNNNNNNNNNNNNNNNNNNAAUUAAGCUACUAAAAUACUACACAACUACGAAAACAAAAAUACGAAGCUAAAAUCAAAAUAAGAAGUUAACAUUUUCUAACAUACUACUACAUAUUUUGAGGAAUUCUCCCACCUCACACUUAAAGGAGUGCAGUGUACCCAAUGCACAAAUAAAGCAAAACAAUAACGAGGGAGGACAAGAAACUCCCUGAAAGGCCAAAGGCUGAAGUAAUAGCGGCUCACGGGUACUCAGACUUCCCCCAGACAUGGUCCUUUGUGUGGUCACCCCACACUUUGUUCUCACCAUCUAGCUCACUUUUGCACUCUUCCAAUGGCUUUUCCUCCUAUGCUUAUAAUCCUACAAAACAAAAACAGACACUACAACAAUAAUAAGAUAAAAAUAAAAAUAAAAAAAAGCAGUAAAACUGGGUUGCCUCCCAACAAGCGCCCGAUUUAACGUCGCGGCACGACUUGUAGCACUUUUUGUCUCCACCUUGAACUUAUGAAUUGUACCCCUAACAAGGCAUCUAGUCUGUGGCUAUGCUCCUUCGGUGGGGCUACAAAGUAAACCAGGCCAAGCAAUAAAAUUUUUGCUCUACACCUCUUGACCUUUAGAUGAGGAAUGUAAUUUUUGCUUUUUGACACAACACAUUCAAGAACAUAGGCACCCCGUUCCUCGUCCAUUGGCUCCUCCAAAUGCUCAGAUGACUCGAUUUCCAUGUCAUCAUCCAAACACAAUGUUGAAAAAUAUAUGGAAUGAGGACCAAUACGCCCCAACUCUAGAAUUGUAUUACUCUUUAUAUUCUCAUAUGUACACACAUUGGAGUCUUCAAAUAUAAUAUUAUCUACUUCCUCACAUGACUCUAGAACACUCAUCUCAGCAUUGGCAUCCUCAAGAAAAAUAUGGUCUAAUGCUUGGUAUUCUCGUUUUAGCUCCUCAAUUUGGUCUAGAAGAUUUUUUUCAGUUUCACACAACUCAUCAUUAAAUUGUUGGGCGUUGAACGCAUCAACCUUUGCACUCAAAUCUGCAUCCAAGUUGUGCAAAGCCAAGCCAAACUUGUCAAAUUUUUGUGCAAGAUCAACUCUCUCCUUCGACUAGUCAUUCACCAACUUUGUUAGAAGAUAACGUCGUUCCUCAUAUUUCCUUAAUCGUGAAUAUUCGUUCCAAUACCAAGCUUUACUCCCAUAUUCAAAUUCAGACCUUCCAGAGUUCAGGUCAUGACAAGCCCCAAAAGACGGGCCAUAAAAAUCUUCCGUCAACCAAGCGUCUUCAUCAAUAACCUUACCUCCGGAUAUUUCAUCCCCAGAUAUCAUGUUGAGAGAACAAUGAACACACUAAGAGAAAGAUCAAACUGUUAUAAAAAUAAAAAAAUUUACAAAAAGAAAAAAAUAAACAAAACCUAUAAAUAUAAAAGUAAAAGUCUAAUCUAGAAAAAUAACUAAAUAAGAAAAUUAAAAACUUGAACAAAAAUCAAUUAAAAGUUUAACUUAGAUAAACAAUCAAUAACUAAGUCCCCGGCAACGGCGCCAAAAACUUGUUGGUUCCCCAAGUACACGCAAGUAUACGUGGCCGUCAAGUAAUAAAGUGACUCGAAAGUCGGAUGUCAAACCCAGAGAGGCUUAGAUUAACCGUUAACUAAGCAAUAUAAAAUCAAUUUACUGCCCAAGAUGAUCUAAAGUUUAACUUUUCUAUUACAACUACUAUUGCAAAAUUUAAACAUGUAACCAAGGGAGAUAUAGAUUCCAGGGUUGUGGUCGGUUUAUCAAUCCUAUUGAAUUCGUAAUUAUACCUGUUAAUCCAAAUUAUCUAUCAUUGCUAAUUGACCGGAUCGUUUAUAUAAAUAGCAUGUUCCCACAAUGCUAUCCGUCUAUCCAUAAUAUAUCAACCCUGUAUUCCUAUGGUCUUGAAUCUAUCAUGAAUGAAUAUAAUAUAGUAUUCAACUAAGCAAGACUCUUAGGUAUAUUCUUAUCCUAACCACGAAAUCUUUCCUCGAGCCACGGGUUCAGAAACAAGCUCUCUCCAAUUCUACUCUAAUCUAAGUACGGAUUUCCCAAGCAUAGCAUAGAUAGUAAAUAGAACUCAAUUGCUGGUCAAACAAUUAAGAAAUUAUGCACAGAAUUAGAGAAACAACCAAAGAUGAUAAAUCGAAUUAACGGCAAUAUAAUUAAUAAACUUCAAUAUUCAUGACAACCACAACCCUAAAACGUAAAGUUUAGCUCCACAUAGACAUAGUAGCAAAACAACAAAUCAUCAAGAAAAAGUAAAGAUUACUAAGUUUGAUGGAAAAAAGAUGGAAUCUAAUGAAUUCCGGCCUUCACGGCGUCUCCGUGCUCUCCCUUCGUCUAAAGUCUGUCCAAAAUCGGUUUCUCCCUUAAAAAAUGGUGUUUAAUGACUAUUUAUAUGUGUAGGGAAAAAACUUAGACGAAAUAAGCAAGUCCAAAACCAAAAAGGAGACAAAAUAGACUUGAGACCCGGACCACGUGUCGCCACGCAAAACGUGCGACGAACCUCGCGUCAAACAGCGCUAGCGAUCUCAAACGCGCGGAAUUUCUCUCGAGUCGCCUGCUGUUGUUUCGUUUUCAAUUUUGCUGCCAAACGUUUGCCUAACUUUCUCGUUUCUUUUAGGCUUUUCAACUCUUAGUUCUCUUUUUUUUUUUUAAUUAUCACCCCAUCAUUAUGUCUUCAAUCAUCAAAUCAUGACAUCAUAAUAUUUUCCAUCAUCAAAUAAUCACGAGCCAUUCUUGUAGUGCAUAAAAUACACAUAAAUUUUUUAGUUCGCUCCCAAUUUCAUCUCCAAAGUACCUACACAUAAAAUACACUCAAUUAAGCACAAAUAUAUUAUAAUUUAGUAUUAAAGCACCUAAAUGUAAGGUAAGUAAUGCACUAAAAAUAUAUAAUUAUAGCCAAACGUCAUAAUGCAAGAUAGAAAACACCUCUAAUAUCCUUCAGUUGCCUAGAGUUUCAAGCUUCGUAGCAUUCUUAUUCAUAAGUUCUCAGGAAUAUGUAACACUCAAUGCAUUAUUUGUUUAUGCCCUUGAACUCUUUUCUUCUUUCUAAUUUUCUUUUGUAUUGGAAAGCAGGUGCAACUUGAACAAUUUUGUGUCUCUGGGAGUAAAAUAAGGGAGCUUGCUAUGCCAUGAUCCACGAGUAUGUCAAUCAUCGUGCUUACAUAACUUUUAAAAUUACAAAAUCUCCUUUUCUCUCUCUUUCGCUAUUCUGCUAUUUCCUUUAUGCUUUGCUACUUCAACAGUUGAAUGAGAAGUUCAGGAUGUCAUCUUUCUUUAGGUGAGUGGUUCAAUUCUUCUGGGCUUCUCUGGAUCUAUAUGUUUGAAUUUUCUUCUCUUUUUAUCUUUAUAUUUCGUUCAUGAAUUCUGUUUUUGUUUUCUUCUGAGUUUACUUUAUGCUUGCUACAAUCUUCUAGCAUCUACUGUGUUUGUGAAGUCAGGUAAAUUUUCUUCCAUGUUUCUUUAUUUCUUGCGUUGUGUUCCCACUUCUGGCUUUCACUUUUAGAUUUCUAUGAACUUUUUGUCUAUUUUUUGUUUGAUGUUGGUUUCUCUGUUCUUUUAAAUAAUUUCUUGCAAGAUUUUCUACAUGCAUGUCUGGUAUUUUAUUUGAUUUUUAUAUGCAUGUUUGGAAAGAAAUACCUAGGUGCAUGUCCUUAAUUUCUGAUUUUGGUUUUGUUCUGAGUUUAGCUGUAUUAAUGGGGGUUUUGGUGUAAAAAUUUGUUAUUUAAACGCGAAGAUUGUGUCCUUUAUCUACUGGUUAUUCACUCUUUUUGAGUUUCUCCACUUUUCUUCUAUUUGUAUAUGGUGUGAGAUUUUUGAUUGCAAAGUUACUUGUGCAAGCUGCGUUUUUCUAAAUAAAAGCUGCUAAGAUAAAACUUUCUUUAACUGGGGUAGUGGCGGUUUUUCACGUUACAGCCAACGUCACAUUCAUCGGUGAGUAUUUUGAUUCAAAAUUCACUUAUGUUUGUUUCGUGAUACAUUGAAGUGCUUGAAUUAACCCUAUACAUUUUAUAUGUGGAUGUUCGUUUUCCUGGUCCUAUUCUUUUUGUCAUUCUGAAAGAAAACUGUGUUAGAGUUGUUAACCAAUUCCUAUUGACUUCUGAUUUAAAAUAGAAGCUUCUGACUUUAUAGCUGAAUAUAGUCUAUAGUAGAUUUCUUUAACUGGUUUCUAUAUUCUAAACCAUAUACAUUAUACCUUAUAUAUGUCUCCUCAAGUUCCUAUAUUUUACUCUCCAGUACUUUGCAUCAGUAUUAAAGUAAUUAAGUUACCUAAUGCUUCUCUAGAUACUGACUUAACAUACUACUAAGUAUAAAAAUGACAACAGAGAACUGAAAGGAAAAAAAGACUAAGCUACCUGUUAAAAGUCCGAAAAUUAGCGGAGAAGCAAUGUUGGUGAAGGAACAUAUGCAUGUGAUGCAUCCUUGAAAGGAGUUGUGACUCCCCAAACCUGAAAAGGCGUGACCGGCACCCGAUGCCAUACUCGGUCCGAGUGUACCACUCUGUAACUGUGAACUCUGGAGGGGUAACCCUCAACUUAGUCCGAUGAGACCAUAUUCUGAAUCAUCUGAAAAUAUCGUCUCUCAUUUGAAGGGUAAACAUACCCAAAAGCUCAUAUAUGUAUAUAUAAAUAACUGUGCAGGCUGACGAGGCCGCCAUGAACAUCUACUGAUAUACAAAUUAUACAGGAUUCGUCUACAAGCCUCUAAAGAUAGCUGAACUGUAUCAUGGUCGAGACAGGGCCUCGACCUACCCAUCAAACCUGUAUAUAUAAAAUGGACUCCAAGGUCUAGACCUGGUAACUCCGAGGAAGUGCAGUUUACCAACCGAGCUGAUGUUUGACUCUAUCUACUAUGAAGGUCUAUCCAGCUGUCUAUCAGGACCUGCAGGCAUGAAAUGCAGCAUCCCCAGCAAAAAGGGACGUCAGUACGAAAUAAUGUACCGAGUAUGUAAGGCAACAGAAUAACCGAAAGCUGAAACUGAACUGAUAAUAUAAUAACUGAAAGUAACUGGGAGUCAAAGAUGAUCUAAAGAUAUGCUUACCUGNNNNNNNNNNNNNNNNNNNNNNNNNUAAAGUCCCGAUAAGCGAGAAUAUGAUAACUUAUGAGACUAGGAUAAUGUACAUAAAUUCAGGAAUAUGAACUUCUCUUUAUGUUUCGUUAUCAAAUACAUGUAGUUACGGGAUCAUGCCAAAAUGAAGAAAAGGUUUAGUCUUAACAUACCUUAUCACAAUCUGUCCAAUAACCAUGUUAAACGCGUCUCGUUGCACCUUAAUCUACAACAACGAUAACAAUACUAUCAUCAAGUUAUGGAAGGUACAACUAUCGCACAACAAACAACAAGCUUAUUUUAUAAUAAAACGGGCAGCAUCUCCCCUAUAAUCUUUACUUCCUCCCAAUUCGACAUAACACCAACAACAACAAGAACACAAUAAUAACAACAUGUAUACAUUAUUUUCCAACCUUAUAUACAUCACAAAAUAUCACAAGACAGCCCACACAUCCCAAUCAGUUUAUACACAAAACGUAACCCUAGUAGUGUCAAACAACUCGAAAAUGUAACGACGAACGACCAGCCAACCACCCUGCCAUUAUGUGGUGUUUCUCCACACCUUUUCUCCUCCCAAACUCCAUAAAAACAGUAGCAAAAGAGACAACAUAAUAGCAACACGAAACAGCCCCCAAAACAGUCCCACAAGUUCAGCAACUCAAAACUGAUUUUUCAGCUUACUAAAACACAUUUCGACUUGUCUUUUAUUUCAAAUUGAGCAACACAACCAAUAAUACAUAAUUAAGCCUCUUAUACUAUAAACCAGCCAUGAAUUCAACUUAAAAAUAAGUUCACAACCAGCCAACAGUGAUGCAACAACAAACAGCAUACUACUCUAUCGAAACUCGCUAGGUCUAGUCUUUACGAUCGAGUUACAACUCGUACAAGCAUAGAUAAUGGAAGGAAAAGCAUAAAUUUACCUUGGACUGAGUAGAACUCACGAAACCUAGUCCUUAUUCAUCAAAAACCAGUCCCCCAACGCAGCUACAAGAAGGAGAAAGAGAAACUAGCAAGGUGUACGGGGUUUUCGCCACUAGAAUCACAUUGUAUCACCCGAAAUUACCUAGGGUUUGUGUGGGAUUUUUGGGGAGGAGUUGCAAGGGUUCAAUCUGAUUUUGUUGGUCUGAGAAAUGAGUGAAAGGAAUGAGUUAAUAAGUCCUUAAAAGUCCCCUCUUGGCCGACUUUAGGAGUUUUAAUUGAGGCCUCUCAUUUUGGCAAGUAGGUGAUGCACCUACUUGUCACCUACCAGUCUGCGCACUCUCGCAAAAAUACGAAUAUCUCUCUACUACAAUAUUGUAUUAAUGAACAGUUUAAUCCGUUAGAAACUAGACUCAUAGAUCUUCAAUUAGAUAGGUAGAUCAUCCCGUAAUUCCAAGUGCAUUGGGAUAAACGCUCAGCUACAUUUGACCUAAUUUUCAGCAUAUUUAUGAAUGUAACUUCUAAUGAUCUUUGCCAACUUUUGUUCCACAACUCGCUUGACUUCAAAACAUAAUACGCGACUAUCAUAAGACUAAAAUAACUCAUAAUAUAAUAUCCUUAUCAUUUUGAGUACCCUAGUGUCACCCCAUAAGUACAUGUUAUAACAUUCCCAACUUAUCAACUUUCGACGAAACUUAUUUUCUUCAAUUCGUUUAGCUUCUAAGUCUUCCAACCCUCUUGGUACAUGCAGUUCAUGAUCUUAAAUAUUUAUAACCUCCAAGUUAACAUGAUUAACUUACUUUAUGUACUUUCAAAGAUGAUCUCAUUUCUGAGCUUAUAUCAAUUGACUUACGACGUACUCUCACGUACUGUAAUGACCUGACCGGUCGUUUUGAGCUUUAGCGCUUUGUUCGCCGGUUUGAGGCCUUGAGUAGCUUCACAUCAGAUAUUAUGACUUGUACGUGUGGUCGGAAUUAAAUUUUGUGAAGUUCGGAGUUGAUUCGGAUGGAAGAUUCUAAAUUCGGAAGCUUUAAGUUGAAAGAGUUGACUAUGGUUUGACUUUUGAGUAAACGAUCUCGGAAUCGGGAUUUAAAGGUUCCAAUAGGUUCGUAUGAUAAUUUCGGACUUGGGCGUAUGUUCGGGUUGAGUAUCGGGUCGCUCGGGAGCAUUUCGACGCUUAUUAUGGAAAGUUGGCAUUUUGAAGGUUUUAGAAUUUUUUAAAUUUGGUUUGAGGUGGACUUUGGUGUUAUAGAUGUCCGUUUGGGGUUCCGAGCCUUGGAAUAGGUUCGUAUCAUGAUUUAUGACUUGUGCGUAAAGUUUGGCGUCAUUUCGGAAUGUUUAAGUAUGAAUUAGGCGCGUUCGUCAAAGUUUGAAAGUUUAAAAGUUUAAAGAAAGAUUUUGAUCGUCGAUUCAUAGUUUUGAUGUAGUUUGGUGUGAUUUGAGGCCUCAAGCAGGUUUGUAUCAAGUAUUGGGACUUGUUGGUGUGAUUGGACGGGGCCUCGGGUGUGUUUCGGAGGGUCUACGAGUCAUUUCGCCAUGUUGAGCUGCUAUUUUCUGAGGUCUGGUGUGCCUUUCUUCGCGUUUGCAAGGAAAGGGUUGCAUUCGCGAAGAGGAAAAUGGGAGAAAAGAGUCUGUGAAUCGCGUUCGCAGAGGCAGAUUUGCGUUCGCGAAGAAGAAAUUUCUGCUGCACAGGGCUUAUGUUGGAAGCUUAUAUUUUGCAAUCUGUAAGGAAUUUGGAGAUGAUACAAAAAUGAAAGUUGUAGACCUUGGUGUCUAGUUUUUAGAAUGUCAAACCAUUUGGAAUUUGGAGUUUUGUACAAAAGGUUAUGACUAUUAUACUCGAGGCUGUCUGGAGGAGUUGGGCAGCUUGCUCUUCGCGAUCGCGAUUGGUUUUCCGCGAUCGCGAAGGGCAAUUUUGAGCUGAGAAAAGUUGUGCUUUGCGCUCGCAAAGAAUUUUUCGCGAUCGCAAAGGGUUAAUACCUGGGCAUAAGCUAUAUUUCAGAGGUUUGACUCAUUGUCACCUCAUUCCUUCCAUGAGAACCGACUUUGGGGCGAUUUUGGAGUGCCAUUUUCAUCAUCAAAUUUUAGGUAAGUGAUUUCUACACCUUGUGAGUUAAAUACAUGGUUUAUAUGUGGGUUAAAAUAUGAAUAUUUAUGGAAAUUGUGGGAUUUUAAGAGAAAAACCUAGAAUUUAAUAUUUUUGGAUUUUUACCACGAAAUUGAACAUGGAAUUGGAAAUAAAUCAUAUAUUUGAGUUCGUAGUGUUAUGGAAUCCGGGCACGUGGGUCUGAGGGUUGACUUUAUUGACUUUUUGAGCGGAGUUGAGAAUUGUUAUGAAUUGAUUUAUUAUGAGUAUUAGAGUAUAUUUUUAUUGGUUUGCACAUUGUUUGACUAGUUUUGGAGCAACGGGCAUCGAUUUGGGGUGUUAGAGUGGCGUUGAAGCCGGUUAUGGAACUUCAGAGCGAGAUAAGUCUCAUGUCUAACUCUGUGAGGGGGAAACUACCCCUUGGUGAUGUAUUUGAUAUGUGCUACUUGUUGCAAGGGCUACGUACGCACGAGGUGACGAGAGUCCGUACGUAGCUAGAUUCAUGUUAUGUCCGGGUAGACUUAGGUUCCCGCCAUACUAUAACUGUACUAUUUGAGCUGCCCAUUGCCUAUUAAAUUCGUUUAUUUUACGUUACAACUUGAGACUAGACUUGCGUAGAGUGAUAGACUUGCUAUUGUAGAGAUUUGACGGGUUGCAUGAUUAGCUGCAGAAUAAUUAUACUCCUCUUACGAAUUUCUCCCGUGCUAUGCGUUUUCCUCGAAAGGUUUUCCUUAAAAUCUAUAACUCACAUGUUUAUUCGUGAGUGGGGUCAAGGACCCGUUAAAGUUUCUUAUUCUAAUGGGAUUGGGCCGUUCGCCUCGGCAGCAUAAUAGAUACAUUUAUGAUUUGUGUCGUUCGACCCUCGGCAGUGCGCACAUUAUGAUGGGAUCGGGCCAUUCAGCUCCCCAAGAUUAUGUAUCACACUCUCAUGGGAGUGGGCCGUUCGCCUCGGCAAUAUAAUAGAUGUAUUCAUGGUUCGUGUCGUUCGACCCUCGGUAGUGCACAUAUUAUGAUGGGAUCAGGUCGUAUGCCUCGGCAUUUUUAUAAAAUACUCUUAUGGAAUCGUGCGUAAAUAUUUGACAAAAAGCCAGUGUAUCUGUGAGUUUUUCCUGAUUUGAACUGUGACGACCUAUCUGGUGAGGCCCAUUAUAUAUAUACUCCGGUUGAGGAGGUAACUGCUAAUUGAGAGCUCAAGUUUAUUGUUGAGAGGAGGAUUGUACCACGUAUUAUACUUGUUAUUCCGUGUAUUUACUCUGCCUCACAUCUGUUUACUUCUAUUGUAUUUGUCUUAUUGGGCCACUAGUAAGUGUCGAUGUCGACCCCUCUUCACUACUUCUCUGGGGUUAGUCUAGAUACUUACUGGGUACGCGUUGAUUUACGUACUCAUGCUACACUUGCUGCACUUAUUGUGCAGGUAAUAUAUAUUUCUGGUGGUCCUCUGGGCGCAGAGGCACAACAUUUGCGGGGACUUUACGGUGAGCUGCAUUCCAUGUUACGAUCCGCAGCAUACAGAGUCUCCAUCAAAGUUAUUUAUAUUCUCCUGUCUAACUUGUAUUCCAGAUAGAUGUUGUAUUUUAUUAUAUUUCCUAGUUAAUGCUCAUGCACGGGUUUUGGGGGUUCCUACAAGUUGUUUAUUAUUGUUGUUCGUGUAAAUAUUAUCAUUUAUCCUGUAAAUUCUAUUUUAUACUAUUUAAUUAAUGAAAAUUAUGAUUUCAAAGUAAUAAAAUGAGUAAACAAGUCGAUCAAUCACCGUUGGCUUGCCUGACGGCGGUGUUAGGCGCCAUUGCGACCUAUAGUAGAUUUUGGGUCGUGACAACUUAGUAUUAGAGUGUUAGGUUCACUUGCGUCUCACGAGUCAUGGGCAAGUCUAGUAGAGUCUUGCGGAUCGGUACGGAGAUGCCUGUACUUAACUUCGAGAGGCUACAGAGCCAUUAGGAGCACUUCCUUUCUUGAUUCCUCAUCGUGCGAUUUGAUUCCUUUGAGGCUUAUGCUUUUAUUUCCUUCCUACUCAAUCUUGUGCGACAUGAAACGCUUGUUAUCAAUGGGACAUCGAGGAGUUGUAGUGGUACUGCAGACGUGGUACAGGAUGUUUUUUUUCCUGCGUAUUCGGGCAGGCUAUCAUCAUCGCCUUGUGGAAGGAUGUUCUGUCAUUCAGCUCAGUAUCUGUAUUUCCUAUGGUUUUGAGGCUAUGCACAGAUUGCUAUGAUGUUCAUGCAUUGUUAUCGCACAGUGUUGGUGUUAUGGUAGGGUGCUUGUUUAUGUGUCGAGGCAGUGAAUGACUUGAAAGGAGGAUUUCUCAUUGCAUGAUUUAGAGAUUCGGUAUUUAGUUCCAGCGGAGGAAAGGCAAUUGGACUAUAGAUGUCCAGACUUUGGUUGAUGGAGUAAUGAGACUUGAUAUUUUCGAGCACGGUGGAAUUCUCAUUCGUGAUGUGGUGUCAUCGUCCUUGUUGAAUGCAUUAAGGUUCGUCGGUGUUAUGGUCUUCUUGAUUUGCCUUCGGGGCAGGGUGUUAUGAAAUGGUGCCUUAGAAGCGGUUGUCAAAGAUGGUGGUGUGUAGCGGUUUCAGAACUGAAUCGGUGUUUCUAAUGUUGAUGGCUCGAGAAAGAUGAUCUGUGACGAGGUUUAGAGUUGGUAGCAAUAUAUUAGUUCGGGUGCUACAAAGAUGGAUUUCGAUUUGAGGUGGUAUUGGGGCAGUGAAGGACAAGGAAGGAAUGGUGGGAGGUGUCUCACAGUGAUUGAAUUGCUAGCAGGUCAAGUACACACAACAGAGGUCGAGAAGUUGCUUAAGGAGAUGGGUUAACCGAAGUGGGAGUGACAGAGUAGCGUGUAGAUUCUGUGGUGGGAUAGCCACGUAUCUUGAGAAAGUUUAGGGCGAUUUGCGGAAUCGUGAUGGAAGGUGAUUUGGUCUACGAAUUUUAUUUAGGAUGGUGGCUAAUGUACCGAGGGAGAUGGAAUAUGGCAAAGAGGAGUUUGCUUGAAAUGAAGAGGGGUGUGAAGACUUGAUUAUCGUUUUUGGAUGCAACAUGACUCCGGGUUUUAAAUGUAUUGUCAGAUUUUCAGUUGAUGUCGAUGGGGAGUGAAAAGACUUCUACAACUGGUGGACGAGCAUAGGCUCAGGAGGGUUUACUCGAUUCGUGGUAGUUGUACCCAAUGCAGCGCCGUUGGAAGAUGUCGGUAUGGAAUUUCCACAGGUGGGUUAUCUCCUGUGAACAGAUUGGCGGUUGCGUGAGGUUGAUGAACUUUCUACGAAGAAUUCUACUUACUACUCGGCAGGAGGUCGAGUACGCGAUUAUGGCUGAUAAUUCAGAAUGUUCAUGAAAAGUUUAAUAAGAAUCUACAAGAUAUUUGGCGGGUUGACGGUGCGAGAUCAUGGUAAUUGAGAAGGAGAAAUCCUUGCGGGUUCUAGGUUUAUAUAAUUGUAGCUUAAAGCUAAGUGGGGGAGCCCCACCAUCUAUGAAUGGAUCACGUGGUUGUCUGCUUGUGCGGUUUUUGGUUAUCGGUGUAUUGGUGGGUUAUUAUGACUAAGGAAAGAAAACAUCAUGGGUAAUUCGAGCAAAGAAAUUGAUAAAUGUACACUAUAUUAUGCCUUAUCGAUUCAUCUACAGGUUUUGGGAAGACUUAGAGUUUAUGCUUCUUGUGGAUGUCAUGUACAAGGAAAAGAAUUCAGUUGGCUGCUUCUUUGAGAGGGUGUUCAUGUGCUAGUAGAGCGUUGAAGUUUGGUUAUAUUCGGAAUCAGGUCAGAGUUGUAAUACCCCGGAAAAUUUUGAAGUACUUAAGUGGUAAGCCCGGUAAAUUUUGCAAAGAAAAUAAUGUUUCAUGGAGAAGCCGCGGCUCGGACUUUUUGGGUUGAACAAUGCACUGAAAAGUAAAGAAAAAUUUUCGGCGGAAAAGUGCAUUUAUGCGGUCCAUUAUGCGACCGCAGAAUCACUCUGCGGACCGCAUAAUGGCCGCAAAGUGAGGCAGUUAAUUGGGCCAAUUGGAAGCAAUUAUGCGAUCGACUAUGCGACCGCAUAACAGUUAUGCGGACCGCAUAGUGACCGCAUACACGGACAGUUCUUUUGGCUAUUUUGUAACCAACUAUGCGACCGAUAUGCGGUCCGCACAUCGGUUAUGCGAUCGCAUACCUUGUUCUGGAGCUUCAUUUUUGGGUUUUUAAAACUCGACCCUAUUUCGUUAAAUACACUCUUUGGGUCAUUUUUGAGCUAUUAUCUGACAUUUUAGAGUGAGAGAAGGUGCCCUAGAGUGAGAAGGUGUUCUCCAAUAUUUGUCCUUCAAUUCUUGCCCAAGUUUUGGAAGAUUAAAAAGGGAAACUCACUAGGUCUUCAUCCUAGAGGUAAGGUUCUACACCCUAACCCUCAAUUUCGAAUUUUGUGUAGAAAUGGAUAAUAAGCAAGAUAAUUUCUGGGCAAGAGGAUUGGUUAUUUUACAUGCAUGUAUUAUCAAAGGAUGUAGGAAGAUUGUUGAGCUAAAAAUGAUAAAUGAUUAGGUUGCGGGAUGAUAGAAUCCUCCAUAAAAAGGGCCUUGAAACCUUAAUGCACACCUAGUGUUUGAUAAAAUGCUCAAAUGAGCUAGAACCAUAAUCAUCUUCCUAAUUGUGGUUCAAUUUGUUAUAUUUCUAAAAUAAAUUGAAGUUGCUAAGAAUUCCGGAACGUUUUAGAGUUUAAGGAAGCUCAAUUGAGGUAUGUUGGCUAAACUCCUUGUAAGUUCCGAGAUGUUGAUUAUAAAUCGAGUAUUCCGAUAAGUUUUGUGAUGAAGAUAUAUGUUCAAUUCGUAUUUCAAAUGCUCUUAUCAUAUUGCAUUAUAAAUUGAGGAUGUGUCCCAAACUAUGGAUUACGUAUCCACAUGUUAUAAUUUCUAGUCGUAAUUUAUGUGAAAAUUAUUAUGCCAAGUUGUGUAGAGAUUGCGAUUGUGAUACACCUCCACCCGCAUACAUUGGGGUGAGGCGGCAUGACCGCUUUGUGUGGGGAUUAUGGUAUAGAGAUUGUUAUUGUGACACACAUCCACCCGCAUAUAUAUUGGGGUGAGGCGACAUGACCGCUUUGUGUAGGGAUCAUGAUAUUGUGGGACUGCACCUCCACCUGCUAACAUUGGGGUGAGGCGGUACGACCGCUUUGUGUAUGGUUUUGGUAUUGUUGUGGCACCACCACCCGCAUAUAUUGGGGUGAGGCGGCAUAGCCGCUUUGUGUUGGUAUUGGUAUCGUUGAUGCAUUUUCACACGCAUACAUUGGAGUGAGGCAGCAUAGUCGCUUUGUGUAGGUUCUUGGUACUGUGGUUAUACAUCCACCCGCAUAUAUUGAGGUAAGGCGGUAGGGCCGCUUGAUUAGCAUCGGGUAUUGUACGUACACCUCCACCUGCGUACAU